CUGCUGCUAAGGUUUUCACUACAGAUGCAAGAAAAAAGUGUCCUUGCACUUUCUGUCUGUCUGAUUGUGGCAGCCAAGAUUGAGUAGAGGAGUACAGGC
rnacentral:snoRNA from 1 species